UUCUAGCAUAUGUUUUGUCAGAAGACUAAGAAGGAUACUCAGCCUUGUGGUUGUACCUGCUGGGAGCCAGGACUGCCAGAGGCCAUUUUCUCUGCUGGGGCAGAGAUUUUGCACAGCAAUUCUCAAUUUGAGUCUGAGUCCCAUCUCUACAACUCCCAUUUUUCAUCUGUAGAUCCUCAAAGCAUCUAUGGAUCCUCCCAGUGAGACAGGAUGGAGGCAAGAAAAAAGAAGGUAGACAGAGCCUUGCCCAAGCCACCAAGCCAGAGCGUGAUCCUGGGAAUCUGCUUCUUCAAACACUGCAGUCCCCAUCUCUGCUGAGGUGGUUUAUUUGUGUGGUAGAGAGGCAGCUUUUGCUUCCUAAACUGCCACACUGGCUUAACAGGAAUCAUGAUAACAAUGGCUGAGAUCAUUGAUGUGUCAUAGAGAUAAAUGCCUUUCAGUUACUGGAGGAGGAUGGACAGACCCUGAUGGUCCUGCCAAGCAGGGCAGGGUGCUGAACUCGCUUUGCUGUAACCCAGUCUCCUCUGACUUGUAAAAUGACCUAUGGCCCUCAGAUAUGACUUCUUUUAUGUCUGCCAUCCAGAUUUGGAAGGCAGCUAGGUCAGUCUUACUAAUACCUCGAGACUUUAAUAUUCAUCAUACUGCUUUUGAUUUUGUGGAAAAAGCCUAACUGUUCUGGAAGAAUGCAGGUCAUUAGAGCCUUGAAGGUGAACUCCAGUAAAAUAACUCGUGUUUCUAACCCUUACUGGAAUUGGUGCCGUGUAAGGCUAAAGAGGAGACUGAAGAGGAAGUGCCAUCCCAGAGAGGAUGCACCCAGCCAUCAGCACAGCCCACAGCCUGUGCCAGAUCUGGGGAUGGGAUCCCCACGCUGGCAGAGCUGCACCCAUAUGGGUGGGCACUCCUUCCCUGUGCCACCUCAGCCAGUGCUGUUCUCACUUCCCUUUGCCAUCCUCAAAAAAAAAAAUCAUCUUGUUCAUGGUGCCAAAUCUGCCUGCACAGCCUGGGCAGUAGCAGGUGGGACUCACCGCCAUGUCCAGCACCUUUGCUUUUGAAAAAAU
rnacentral:lncRNA from 1 species